UACGUAGGGGGCAAGCGUUGUCCGGAAUUAUUGGGCGUAAAGAGCUCGUAGGCGGUUUGUCGCGUCGGCCGUGAAAUCUCCACGCUUAACGUGGAGCGUGCGGUCGAUACGGGCAGACUUGAGUUCGGUAGGGGAGACUGGAAUUCCUGGUGUAGCGGUGAAAUGCGCAGAUAUCAGGAGGAACACCGGUGGCGAAGGCGGAUCUCUGGGCCAUUACUGACGCUGAGGAGCGAAAGCGUGGGGAGCGAACAGG
rnacentral:rRNA from 1 species